GGUAGUUAUCCUAGUAGUAGCUGUAGGGGUAGUUUAGUAACUAGUUUGAGACUAUAAAUAGGGAUGAAGGACUGGUUGUUUCAGCACCUCUUUCACCUCUCUAAGAACUUCAUCUAUCUAGGGUUUUAGUAGUUCAUUAGCCUAGUCUCUCUCUCUCUAGUUUAUCUCUCUAGAUGUCCUCGGAUGUUUUGAGCACCGAAUUCUUGUAUUGAACUAAGUUUUUGCUGCGGGAAUGGAGGCCCUGACCUCCUCGUGUCCUCCGUGUGUUAGGGGAUGAUGGCUUUGUGCAAUUCUCGCUUGUGUUCUUCGCGUUCUUGUUUUCUCCCGUUUCUCCAUCUCACGUUUUUGGUUGAUUUUUUAUUUCUGGGAGUUCUUGAGUCAAACCGGUCUUUCGGAAAUGAACUAGGAC
rnacentral:lncRNA from 1 species